CCGAGUUUACAACUCCCAAACCCCUGUGAACAUACCAUUGUUGCUUCGGCGGACCGCCCCGGGCGCUUUUUGUGCCCCGGAUCCAGGCGCCCGCCGGAGGACCCAAACUCUUGUUUUAAUAGUGAACUUCUGAGUGGAUUAAACAAAUAAAUCA
rnacentral:misc_RNA from 1 species